rnacentral:lncRNA from 1 species
GCCCACAAUCCAUGCACGAUUAACGAUACGACUAAUGCGACUUUGAAGCUUACAAUCACAUUUGACAUAAAGACGAAAUAACUUGAAUUUUCGAAAAUUUUAAAUAAGUAAAUACAGUAGAUAUGAAAGAAAUUUUUUCAGUAGCAUGCAGAGUACGAUGAGUUGCAGUAGGUAUUAAAGUCUGGAACAAAUUUAUUACCAAAUAGAACUUACACAAAAUGGAUCAACAGGAUCUUAUACAAAUAUCUUAAAUGUUAGAAAAGAAAGGUGCACUUUAAUCUCAAAGAUCGUUUGAUAAGAAAAUAUAGCCCAAAUGCAAUAUUUUACAAGAUACAUCAAUUAGAUUAAAGACAGUUGCCCGACAAUUUGUUUAGCAUGUGAAUAAUUUGUGGCACCAAUAAAGAAUUCUUAGUGGCUAUGUUCAAAUUUCUAUCCGAAUGCUACUCAGAUAUCACUCCAUCCUUGUUAUUUACCAAACAUUAAACAAGGAUGACACCCGAGAGGGAAUUCGAACACAGGAAAAUUUUUUAGAAUCAUGAUACAUUAUAUUGAAUAAAUAUAAUAAAGUUUGUAAGAAAAA